rnacentral:rRNA from 1 species
GUGGGGAAUCUUGCGCAAUGGGCGAAAGCCUGACGCAGCCAUGCCGCGUGAAUGAUGAAGGUCUUAGGAUUGUAAAAUUCUUUCACCGGGGACGAUAAUGACGGUAGCCGGAGAAGAAGCUCCGGCUAACUUCGUGCCAGCAGCCGCGGUAAUACGAAGGGGGCUAGCGUUGCUCGGAAUUACUGGGCGUAAAGGGCGCGUAGGCGGACAGCUUAGUCAGAGGUGAAAGCCCAGGGCUCAAACUUGGCAUUGCCUUUGAUACUGGCUGUCUUGAGUUUGGGAGAGGUGAGUGGAACUCCGAGUGUAGAGGUGAAAUUCGUAGAUAUUCGGAAGAACACCAGUGGCGAAGGCGACUCACUGGCCCAAUACUGACGCUGAGGCGCGAAAGCGUGGGGAGCAAACAGGAUUAGAAACCCGUGUAGUCC